rnacentral:rRNA from 1 species
GAACUGAAGAGUUUGAUCCUGGCUCAGAUUGAACGCUGGCGGCAUGCCUUACACAUGCAAGUCGGACGGCAUCGCGGGUUUCGGCCUGGCGGCGAGUGGCGAACGGGUGAGUAAUGCAUCGGAACGUAUCUAGUUGUGGGGGAUAGCCCGGCGAAAGCCGGAUUAAUACCGCAUAAGCCCUGAGGGGGAAAGCGGGGGACCUGCGAGGGCCUUGCGCGAUUGGAGCGGCUGAUGUCGGAUUAGCUGGUUGGUGGGGUAAAGGCUUACCAAGGCGACGAUCCGUAGCGGGUCUGAGAGGACGAUCCGCCACACUGGGACUGAGAGACGGCCCAGACUCCUACGGGAGGCAGCAGUGGGGAAUUUUGGACAAUGGGGGCAACCCUGAUCCAGCCAUGCCGCGUGAGUGAAGAAGGCCUUCGGGUUGUAAAGCUCUUUCGGUGGGGAAGAAAUCGCAUGGGUGAAUAAUCUGUGUGGAUGACGGUACCUGUAGAAGAAGCACCGGCUAACUACGUGCCAGCAGCCGCGGUAAUACGUAGGGUGCGAGCGUUAAUCGGAAUUACUGGGCGUAAAGGGUGCGCAGGCGGCUCUGUAAGACAGGUGUGAAAUCCCCGGGCUUAACCUGGGAAUGGCGCUUGUGACUGUGGAGCUGGAGUACGGCAGAGGGGGGUGGAAUUCCACGUGUAGCAGUGAAAUGCGUAGAGAUGUGGAGGAACACCGAUGGCGAAGGCAGCCCCCUGGGCUGGUACUGACGCUCAAGCACGAAAGCGUGGGGAGCAAACAGGAUUAGAUACCCUGGUAGUCCACGCCCUAAACGAUGUCAACUAGUUGUGGGUAGGGUAAAACCUAUACGUAACGAAGCUAACGCGAGAAGUUGACCGCCUGGGGAGUACGGCCGCAAGGUUAAAACUCAAAGGAAUUGACGGGGACCCGCACAAGCGGUGGAUGAUGUGGAUUAAUUCGAUGCAACGCGAAAAACCUUACCUACCCUUGACAUGCCCGAGACCUCUGAGAGAUUGGGGGGUGCCGCAAGGAAUCGGGGCACAGGUGCUGCAUGGCUGUCGUCAGCUCGUGUCGUGAGAUGUUGGGUUAAGUCCCGCAACGAGCGCAACCCUUGUUGUCAGUUGCCAUCAUUAAGUUGGGCACUCUGAUGAGACUGCCGGUGACAAACCGGAGGAAGGUGGGGAUGACGUCAAGUCCUCAUGGCCCUUAUGGGUAGGGCUUCACACGUCAUACAAUGGCUGGUACAGAGGGAUGCGAAGCUGCGAGGCGGAGCGGAUCUUUUAAAGCCGGUCGUAGUCCGGAUCGCAGUCUGCAACUCGACUGCGUGAAGUCGGAAUCGCUAGUAAUCGCGGAUCAGCAUGUCGCGGUGAAUACGUUCCCGGGUCUUGUACACACCGCCCGUCACACCA